rnacentral:rRNA from 1 species
UAUGGUCAAGUGAAGAAGCGCAUACGGUGGAUGCCUUGGCAGUCAGAGGCGAUGAAAGACGUGGUAGCCUGCGAUAAGCUUCGGGGAGUCGGCAAACAGACUUUGAUCCGGAGAUCUCUGAAUGGGGGAACCCAGCCAUCAUAAGAUGGUUAUCUUGUACUGAAUACAUAGGUGCAAGAGGCGAACCAGGGGAACUGAAACAUCUAAGUACCCUGAGGAAAAGAAAUCAACCGAGAUUCCCUUAGUAGUGGCGAGCGAACGGGGACUAGCCCUUAAGUGGCUUUGAGAUUAGCGGAACGCUCUGGAAAGUG